UGGGGCGUGGCCAAGUUGGUAAAUUAGUGGGUUUUGGUCCUGUUAUUUGGAGGUUCGAAUCCUUCUGUCGCAG